UUUAGUAAUUUAUUUAGUAACUUCCAAAAAUAAUCCCUGUAAUCAUGGUAAAUAAAUAAGGACUUUGCUUUCAACAAUUGGAUCCACUUAAAAGAUCAGGGCUUUUCAACCAAUGAAGCACCAUCAAUCGUUUAUGCUGAUACGCAGCUACUACGCCUCUUUCCUCCCCAAUUUCAGACCCACACAGUCGACGGACCAGUGUCGCCGGAGACAUGGAAGACAUCGAGGAUUUGUUGGUAGGCGGUGGCGCUGCUCCACCCGGUUUCCGAAUCCCCAUUACCGCCGUCGUCGGAAUAAAUCCAAUAAAAAAGAAGAAAAACAAUAAACUAGAGCCAUCAUCUUUGCUUCAAAACUCCUCGACACAUCAAGUCCCUGGCACCCAGGUUGGAUUUCUCCCUAUAUUCGUACCCUAGGCAAUAAUCGUUUCCAUUUUCUGCUUCGCGUUUUUUGCUGAUUUCACUCUUCUUUUGUUAUCUCUCAAUCUCAUAGACGAUUUUUUUUGAAGACAUUUGGAUGUUCACACAACCAGGUACAAUCGGGUGCAGGAAUCGUUUAGGGGUGUUGUCGAUUGGUGGAAGGCCGAGGUUAUCGCCUACUGUUUUAUUUUCAUUUCCCCUAAUUUUUCUCUGUUUAUACCCUGCAUCUAGAUUUUUACAUUAGUUUUUUGUAAUUUCAGUGUAAAAACUAACAAAUGAUCGUAAAUUCGUUGAAUUUGUGUUAGUCGGAGGCUUGAUUAACUUGAAUUAUGUGAGAUUUCUUUAUUUAUAACUUGAAUUCUGGGAUUUUAGAAGUUAUAAGGCGAUUGAGAAUUCACCUAGAUGGGAAAGAAGAUGAGACUGAUUCAACAGUGUAUCUAGAUCGACCUAGAGAACCCGAUUGCAUAUAUUAUUUAAGAACUGGAGCGUGUGGCUAUGGUAAUAACUGUAGGUUUAAUCAUCCAACUUACAAUGCUCAGAUGAUUCAAUGGAUGAUAUUGGUGAGAUUCCAAUUCUAUUGGAAUGGAAUAACGAAUUCCAAUUCUGUUGGAAUGGAAUGACGAAAUUCCAAUUCUGUUGGAAUCAUAGAAGUUGAUGCUUGAAGAACGGACCAAAUUAUUCUUUUAGAAUGUAUUAGUCGUUGUUAGAUUUUGAUGUUUUCUUCCCCGUUUUGAUUGUAUUUUUAAUUUUAUUCUUUAACAAUAAAUGUAAUUCUUAACAAUUGUUACCUGUAUUCUAUAAGAAAUAACGUAUUUUUGUUUUUAUUCUUCAAUUGAUUGUUCAAGAUUUUGUUA